GUUCUUUUGUUUAUAUAAAAGAUCUGGCCUGCCCAAUGAAAAUUUAAUGGCUGCAGUAUUUUGACUGUACAAAGGUAGCAUAAUCAUUUGUCUUUUAAUUGAAGUCUGGAAUGAAUGGUUUGAUGAAAAAUUUACUUUCUUUAUUUUAAAUAAAUAAUUUAAUUUCUUAAUUAAAAAGUUAAGAUAUUAAUAUAGGACGAGAAGACCCUAUAGAACUUUAUUUCGAUAAAAAAAUAGAAUUUUGUUAAUGAGUUUUUGUCUUUUUUUAAGAAUUUUGUUGGGGUGACAGAAAAAAAUUUUUAACUUUUUUUUAUUUUUUCAUUAAUUUAUGAUUUUUUUCGAUCCUUUAUUAUGGAUAGUAAGACUAAGUUACCUUAGGGAUAACAGCGUUAUUAUUUUAGAGAGUUCAUAUUGAUAAAAUAGUUUGCGACCUCGAUGUUGGAUUAAAAUAAGUUUCAGGAGUAGAAUAUUGAGUAUCUAGGUCUGUUCGACCUUUAAAUUUUUACA
rnacentral:rRNA from 1 species